UUUCCGUAGGUGAACCUGCGGAAGGAUCAUUACUGCUUUGAGAUCGCUGACGCGAUCCGAAAUAUAAACAUUGUGGAACGAGAUAAAGUUUGGGGCUUUGCCCUAAUCAUUCACCCGUGUAGUUUUGAUGUCUAAACUUUAAAGUAUAUUGUAAGCUGAACAACUCUUAGCAACGGAUAUCUUGGCUCUC
rnacentral:misc_RNA from 1 species